UAACCGAACGGAUCGCGUUAUGGCUUCGGCCCGCGAUGGAUCAUUCAAGUUUCUGACCUAUCAGCUUUCGACGGUAGGGUAUUGGCCUACCGUGGCAGUGACGGGUAACGGGGAAUUAGGGUUCGAUUCCGGAGAGGGAGCCUGAGAAACGGCUACCACAUCUAAGGAAGGCAGCAGGCGCGCAAAUUACCCAAUGAAAACAGUUUCGAGGUAGUGACGAGAAAUAACAAUACAGGGCAUUUUAUGCUCUGUAAUUGGAAUGAUGGGAAUGUAAAACCCUUUCAGAGUAACAAUUGGAGGGCAAGUCUGGUGCCAGCAGCCGCGGUAAUUCCAGCUCCAAUAGUGUAUAUUAGAGUUGUUGCAGUUAAAAAGCUCGUAGUUGGAUUUCUGUCGUGGUCAUCCGGUACCGCCCGUAUGGGUGCGCACCUGGUAUGCCCUCGGCUUUCUUCCGGUAGCCUUCCGCGCUUCAUUGCGUGUGAUGGUGUUCCUGGAACUUUUACUUUGAGAAAAAUAGAGUGUUCAAGCAGGCUGUCGUGUGAUACGAUUACGGAAUAAUAAGAUAGGAUUUCGGC
rnacentral:rRNA from 1 species